UACGUAGGGGGCUAGCGUUGUCCGGAAUCAUUGGGCGUAAAGGGCGCGCAGGUGGCGGUGUUGGCCCGGCGUGAAAGCCCCCGGCUCAACCGGGGAGGGUCGUCGGGGACCGCACCGCUUGAGGGCGGUAGGGGCUGGUGGAAUGCCUGGUGUAGUGGUGAAAUGCGUAGAGAUCAGGCGGAACACCCGUAGCGAAGGCGGCCAGCUGGGCCGUCCCUGACACUGAGGCGCGAAGGCGUGGGGAGCGAACGGG
rnacentral:rRNA from 1 species